rnacentral:rRNA from 1 species
UCCGCCUGGGGAGUACGNCCGCAAGGUUGAAACUCAAAGGAAUUGACGGGGGCCCGCACAAGCGGUGGAGCAUGUGGUUUAAUUCGAAGCAACGCGAAGAACCUUACCAGGUCUUGACAUCCCUCUGACCGCUCUAGAGAUAGAGUUUUCCUUCGGGACAGAGGUGACAGGUGGUGCAUGGUUGUCGUCAGCUCGUGUCGUGAGAUGUUGGNNNAANNNNNNNNNNCGAGCGCAACCCCUAUUGUUAGUUGCCAUCAUUCAGUUGGGCACUCUAGCGAGACUACCGGUAAUAAACCGGAGGAAGGUGGGGAUGACGUCAAAUCAUCAUGCCCCUUAUGACCUGGGCUACACACGUGCUACAAUGGCUGGUACAACGAGUCGCAAGCCGGNGACGGCAAGCUAAUCUCUGAAAGCCAGUCUCAGUUCGGAUUGUAGGCUGCA